GGUUAAUACCCUGUGUAGAUGACGGUACCGGAAUAAGAAGCACCGGCUAACUACGUGCCAGCAGCCGCGGUAAUACGUAGGGUGCGAGCGUUAAUCGGAAUUACUGGGCGUAAAGCGUGCGCAGGCGGUUUUGUAAGACAGGCGUGAAAUCCCCGGGCUCAACCUGGGAACUGCGUUUGUGACUGCAAGGCUAGAGUAUGGCAGAGGGGGGUGGAAUUCCACGUGUAGCAGUGAAAUGCGUAGAGAUGUGGAGGAACACCGAUGGCGAAGGCAGCCCCCUGGGCCAAUACUGACGCUCAUGCACGAAAGCGUGGGUAGCAAACAGGAUUAGAUACCCUGGUAGUCCACGCCCUAAACGAUGUCAACUAGGUGUUGGGAGGGUAAAACCUUUUAGUGCCGUAGCUAAC
rnacentral:rRNA from 1 species